GCUGGUGUCAUAUGUAUGCUUCCUGAAUGCCCUUUCAAAAGAUGAAUUCCUAUGGCUAUUUGUUCCAGUGUCCCUGCAGCUGUGAGGUAAUUGCGUAGCAAGGAACUAUGCCAUUACUUGAGCUACAGACAUUGAUUACUAGGGUGGACACUAAUUUCAUGGAUGGAAAACUUGGUCACAAAUGUUAGAAAGUGUUACAACAAGAAGUCCUGCGGGGAUGCAAUACUUUCAAUCAGGACUGUAUCUACACAUCACAUCUGGGCCUGGUGUUUCUUAUCAACAGAGGUGUCUUCAGUCUUCUCUGCUGAGAUGACCAAGUCCCCACACAGUCUAAAAGGACCACUUCAUACUCCCUAAUAAUCUGCAAAAUGAAGAGGCACUUUCUGAAUUCUUUUAUAUUCUCUUCAAGAAGGAAACUUGGAGCUUGGUUAGCAAUUAUUUAAUGAUGGUAAAAAAAAAAAUAAACAUGACAACCUCUAAGGAUGUCACCACAAAA